AAUGACUGCCCACCUCACGGUUAGAUAUCACAAUACCCAGUAACCUGGUAAAAUCAAAUUUCUAGAAGCUUAGAUUCAGCCAGUCAGAUUUAUAUAACAAUAAAUUCUCAAUUCACAAGAUGCCCGUACAAUAAUUUCAAAGCCAAUUGAUAACGAUAAAAGCUGCCCACCUAGAUUAGACAAGUUAUCCCAAUUAUUCUAUCUUUUAUAAUAUUUGGAGUUACUUGUGGUGGCUAUUUAAAGCCACAUGGAAUAUAAAUCAUCUUCCUCUUGCUUCAUUUCUUCCAUCUUCCCUUAACAUGGGUUGCUCCCUGUCUCUGUAUCUCUGCAACUCUUUUUUUUUUUUUUUUUUUUUUUUUUUUUGAGACAGGGUUUCUCUGUACAGCCCUGACUGACCUGGAACUCACUUUGUAGAACAGGCUGGCCUCGAACUCUGAAAUCCACCUGCCUCUGCUUAGCUCUGCCUCCCUUUUCCCUGUCCAAUCACAGGCCUCCUGCUGCACUCAUAUUUUAAUGUAAUUGGACAGGGGAAAAUGCUGCUACAGCAGUAAAGGGUAGAUGUCAUUCUCCUAGAAUUAGAGCUACAGGCAGCUUGUGAGAUGCCUGUUGAGGGAGCUGGGAACUGAACUUAGAUUCCUGUAGAAGUAAAUGCUCUUAAGUUCUGAGCCUUCCCUCUAAUACCAAAGAAGAUUUCACUUGGAGAAAAGCUGCUUUUCUUUUUUACUGUUUAUUUAUCUGUUUAUCUCAUGAAUUCGUGUUUUUCCUUAUCAUACCAAUUUUUUCUGGUACCAGCAUAUUAGAAAUAACAUUUAGAGAAUAUUCAGAAUAUAUAUUUUAUAUAACAGUGCAUUAAUUGAUGAAAAUGUCAUCUUGCAUUCAAUCUCUUACCCAUAUCAUUCUUCAUUGUUCUCAUAGAAUCGUUUUCCAUAUCAAAAGUAUAAAGGUAUUUUUUUUUAUUAAAUGUUUUUAGAUUUAUUUCAUUUUAUAUGUAGGGAUGCUUUGCUUUCCUGUGUGUAUAUGUACCACAUGCCUGUGGAUUUGCCUGUGGGGGUCAGCAGAGGUAUAGGAUCUCCUGAAGCUUGACUGAUGUUGUGAGCCACCAUGUAGAUGCUGGAAACUAAUCCGAGGUCCUUUGCAAGAGCAAGUGUUCUUAACUGCUGAGCCAUCUCUCUAGGCCCAGAAUAGGGUCUUCUUAUAUAAUGAGUGUAUAAUAUAUUAUCACUGAUUCAUGAGUAAAUGCUAAAUAUAUUUAACACAAAAAGUAGAAAAUAAUGUAUAAAGUAAGAAACAGACAGUAAUCUCACCUCAAUAGCUCUUUUUUAAAAAAACUUAAUUGCUAUCUUUUUAUAGAUUCAAGAUUUUCACACUUUCCUUUGGAGUAAUUUGUUAAUGAAUUUCCAGAUUGCUUUCUAAUUCAUUCUCUCUACUUAGGAGCAGACAUCUUAAUCCUAUAGAAGAGGCAGGAUACUUCAGGUUAGUGUUCAUUUAGAAGUCUGGUCUUGCAAAUUUUAUAUGCUCUAGUACAGGGGAAUGUCAGGGCCAAGAAGUGGGAGUGGGUGGGUAGGGGAGCAGGGCAGGGAGGGGUAUAGGAAACUUACGGGAUACCAUUUGAAAUGUAAAUAAAGAAAAUAUCUAAUUUAAAAAAAAAGAAAAUAAAUU
rnacentral:lncRNA from 1 species